rnacentral:RNase_P_RNA from 1 species
GUCGCGCGCAUUUUCCUGAUGAUAGGAUUUUUGCGUGAGGUAAAGUCCGGGCUCCACCGGAAAAGAUGCCGGGUAAUAACCGGGCAAGGGAAGAUAGUUGUUCUUUGGAGCAAUCCUCAGAGCAUAACUCUUUGCUUGACAGAAAGUGCUACAGAAAAUUACCGCCCGCAAGGGUAAGGGUGAAAAGGCAGGGUAAGAGCCUACCGCGUCUCUGGCAACAGCGACGGCAUAAGCAAACCUCAUCUGGAGCAAAAUCAUGCAGCAGUUUGGCGUUCCGGACUUAUACUGCGGGUAGAUUGCUGGAGGCAUCGGGUAACCGGUGUUGCGGAUAGAUGGCCAUGUGUGGUUUUUGCCACAUACCAGAACCCGGCUUACCAU